rnacentral:rRNA from 1 species
GAUGAACGCUGGCGGCGUGCCUAAUACAUGCGAGUCGAGCGAACAGACGAGGAGCUUGCUCCUCUGACGUUAGCGGCGGACGGGUGAGUAACACGUGGAUAACCUACCUAUAAGACUGGGAUAACUUCGGGAAACCGGAGCUAAUACCGGAUAAUAUAUUGAGCCGCAUGGUUCAAUAGUGAAAGACGGUUUUGCUGUCACUUAUAGAUGGAUCCGCGCCGCAUUAGCUAGUUGGUAAGGUAACGGCUUACCAAGGCAACGAUGCGUAGCCGACCUGAGAGGGUGAUCGGCCACACUGGAACUGAGACACGGUCCAGACUCCUACGGGAGGCAGCAGUAGGGAAUCUUCCGCAAUGGGCGAAAGCCUGACGGAGCAACGCCGCGUGAGUGAUGAAGGUCUUCGGAUCGUAAAACUCUGUUAUUAGGGAAGAACAAAUGUGUAAGUAACUAUGCACGUCUUGACGGUACCUAAUCAGAAAGCCACGGCUAACUACGUG